UGGGUCGGGUUAUUUAGCCAACCAAAAUGGCAGUACAGGCUCCGACCGAGGACUGAGGAAGCUUAGGAUGACUAAUAAGAAUGGUUGCGGCGAGUGUUUUGUUGUGGAAGUAUUAGAAGAAUGUGUAAGAAACAUACGGUGCUCAUGAUGCAACUUCCUGGAUGGUGUGUAAAUUGUUUAUCAGCAUGUGAAAUCCACAUGAUUGAAGGAGAAGUCUUCCUUGUUAAAGAUCAGCAACGGCAGAUAAACAAUUCAUGAUGCAAUCUGCUCACUAAAAAGAUUACACCAAUACAUCCCAUGACAUGUAUUUCUACCUGUCACCUAUGUAACCUUUGUCAUGCUCUUCAGAGAGUCAUCGACAGGAAAAGGAAUUACCGGUAAGUUGACAGGACUUUCCACACUGUUUCUGGUAGCAGCUUAUGAUUGAAUUGAUGGUAGAAGACGUGGCCCACUUAAUCAAAGAUAAUCUGUAUAGAGUGGCACCUUAACCACCACUGGUGAAAUAGAUGACUAGUGGAUGGUCAUCACUUUGCAGCUCACUUUCACUUUCUGCAGCCCAUCUCUUCUCAUCCACAAUCAUUGUCUUUGGAGGAAUGGUGACAGUGCAGUCCUCAUGGCUGGGCAGGUCUACUGCAUG